rnacentral:rRNA from 1 species
UACCCUACGGGGGGCAGCAGUGGGGAAUAUUGCACAAUGGGGGGAACCCUGAUGCAGCGACGCCGCGUGAAGGAAGAAGUAUCUCGGUAUGUAAACUUCUAUCGGCAGGGAAGAAAACGGACGGUACCUGACUAAGAAGCCCCGGCUAACUACGUGCCAGCAGCCGCGGUAAUACGUAGGGGGCAAGCGUUAUCCGGAAUUACUGGGUGUAAAGGGAGCGUAGACGGUUAAGUAAGUCUGGAGUGAAAGGCCGGGGCCCAACCCCGGGACUGCUCUGGAAACUAUUGAACUUGAGUGCAGGAGAG